rnacentral:ncRNA from 1 species
CCUAGUCUCAACCAUAAACGAUGCCGACCAGGGAUCGGCGGAUGUUGCUUAUAGGACUCCGCCGGCACCUUAUGAGAAAUCAAAGUCUUUGGGUUCCGGGGGGAGUAUGGUCGCAGAGCUGAAACUUAAAGGAAUUGACGGAAGGGCACCACCAGGCGUGGAGCCUGCGGCUUAAUUUGACUCAACACGGGGAAACUUACCAGGUCCAGACAUAGCAAGGAUUGACAGACUGAGAGCUCUUUCUUGAUUCUAUGGGUGGUGG